rnacentral:rRNA from 1 species
GGGUAAUGUAGGUAAGGGAAGUCGGCAAAAUGGAUCCGUAACCUCGGGAAAAGGAUUGGCUCUGAGGGUUGGGCUCAGGGGUCUGCCUAUCGAAGCCGGCUGCUGUCGAUCGGCUGCCCGCGCUGCCUCGCGGCGGCAAAGGCGGCCGGUUGCGUGCGGUCGGUGGAGGUGGGUAGGGAGGGGCUCUCGGGUCCCGAGCCCUGGGCGACGAACAACCAACUCAGAACUGGUACGGACAAGGGGAAUCAAAC